UGGAAAGGGAACUGAAUGAAAAGGGAAAGAAAGAUAAGAAAAGUAAGACAAGAAAGGUUGAUGUUUGAGUUUCCCGCCGCCCGCCGCCUGCCCAGCCCCAGACCCAGAGCAUGGCGGAAUACCUGAGGGAGGGCGAGAUGCAGCUGCUGCUCCUGCAUCCGGACAGAAGUGAUGCCCACAACUACGCUGCCUGACCCUCGAUGAUCCAACCCUGGAGGAUAUCUGUCCGCUGAAGUGAUGGGUGCUCGUGCCUGUUGUGGGAUGAGCCAUAUGAAGCAGGGUUAAGAUUUAAUAAUGAAGAACCAUAUUAAAGUAAGGGAUUAGAGUGUAGGUCUUCCGCCAGCCAAGACCAGUCUUAUCCGGGUUCUUUAAUAUCUCAUUGUGCUUUAUAUAUGGCUCAUCCCGUAGUGUCUGGUGCCCAACACCCAACCAGCCCUGAACGCUUACCACUGCACCAGUACCUGAUGAAUCUGCAAUUUUCUAUAGUGUGCAUGUAACAGGGUAGUCAUAAAACCGCAACCUCA